AACGCGUAUGGAACCUGCCCCUGUCAGGGGAAUAGCCCAGGGAAACUUGGAUUAAUGCCCCAUGGUACCGCGAUAUCGCAUGAUAUUGCGGUUAAAGAUUUAUCGGACAGGGAUGGCCAUGCGUACCAUUAGUUAGUUGGUGGGGUAACGGCCCACCAAGGCAGCGAUGGUUAGGGGCCCUGAGAGGGGGAUCCCCCACACUGGUACUGAGACACGGACCAGACUCCUACGGGAGGCAGCAGUGAGGAAUAUUGGACAAUGGGCGGGAGCCUGAUCCAGCCAUGCCGCGUGCAGGAUGACGGCCCUAUGGGUUGUAAACUGCUUUUAUACGGGAAGAAACGCACCUACGUGUAGGUGUCUGACGGUACCGUAAGAAUAAGGACCGGCUAACUCCGUGCCAGCAGCCGCGGUAAUACGGAGGGUCCGAGCGUUAUCCGGAAUCAUUGGGUUUAAAGGGUCCGUAGGCGGGCCUGUAAGUCAGGGGUGAAAGUUUGUGGCUCAACCAUAAAAUUGCCUUUGAUACUGCAGGUCUUGAGUCAUGGUGGGGUCGCCGGAACAUGUGGUGUAGCGGUGAAAUGCAUAGAUAUCACAUAGAACACCGAUCGCGAAGGCAGGUGGCCAACCAUGUACUGACGCUGAUGGACGAAAGCGUGGGUAGCGAACGGGAUUAGAUACCCCGGUAGUCCACGCCGUAAACGAUGGAUACUAGCUGUGGGGACUUCGGUCUCCGUGGCCAAGCGAAAGUGAUAAGUAUCCCACCUGGGGAGUACGUUCGCAAGAAUGAAACU
rnacentral:rRNA from 1 species